rnacentral:rRNA from 1 species
UACGUAGGGUGCGAGCGUUAAUCGGAAUUACUGGGCGUAAAGCGUGCGCAGGCGGUUAUGCAAGACAGAUGUGAAAUCCCCGGGCUCAACCUGGGAACUGCAUUUGUGACUGCAUGGCUAGAGUACGGUAGAGGGGGACGGAAUUCCGCGUGUAGCAGUGAAAUGCGUAGAUAUGCGGAGGAACACCGAUGGCGAAGGCAAUCCCCUGGACCUGUACUGACGCUCAUGCACGAAAGCGUGGGGAGCAAACAGG